UAAGACCAGUUGGUGUACUUUGUAGGAAAUCAUUUGAUGAAUGUGAUUUCAUUGAAUUUUGCGAUGGCCUUACCGCACACUGUGUGCCUGACACUUUUGCACGCAAUGGACAGUCUUGUGAUUCAGGUCAAGCCUUCUGUUACGAAGGGCGAUGUCGGCUGCAUACCACACAGUGUAGAGAUUUAAUCGGAGGAGCUUCUAGAGGUGCUCCGUUUGCUUGUUAUGAGGAAGUAAAUUCAAGAGGAGAUAGAUAUGGAAACUGUGGCCGAUAUUAUUGUGAUUUUCCUUUUGUUACCACUAUGCCUGUGUAGAGGUUCGACAUCGGAUCGAUUUUGGGGCGUG